AUUGAACGCUGGCGGCAUGCCUUACACAUGCAAGUCGAACGGUAACAGGUCUUCGGAUGCUGACGAGUGGCGAACGGGUGAGUAAUACAUCGGAACGUGCCUAGUAGUGGGGGAUAACUACUCGAAAGAGUGGCUAAUACCGCAUGAGAUCUACGGAUGAAAGCAGGGGAUCGCAAGACCUUGUGCUACUAGAGCGGCCGAUGGCAGAUUGGGUAGUUGGUGGGAUAAAAGCUUACCAAGCCGACGAUCUGUAGCUGGUCUGAGAGGACGAUCCGCCACACUGGGACUGAGACACAGCCCAGACUCCUACGGGAGGCAGCAGUGGGGAAUUUUGGACAAUGGGCGAAAGCCUGAUCCAGCAAUGCCGCGUGCAGGAUGAAGGCCUUCGGGUUGUAAACUGCUUUUGUACGGAACGAAAAGCCCCGGGUUAAUACCCUGGGGUCAUGACGGUACCGUAAGAAUAAGCACCGGCUAACUACGUGCCAGCAGCCGCCGUAA
rnacentral:rRNA from 1 species